CCUACGGGAGGCAGCAGUGGGGAAUAUUGGACAAUGGGCGAAAGCCUGAUCCAGCAAUGCCGCGUGAGUGAUGAAGGCCUUAGGGUCGUAAAGCUCUUUUACCAGGGAUGAUAAUGACAGUACCUGGAGAAUAAGCUCCGGCUAACUCCGUGCCAGCAGCCGCGGUAAUACGGAGGGAGCUAGCGUUGUUCGGAAUUACUGGGCGUAAAGCGUGCGUAGGCGGUUAUUCAAGUCAGAGGUGAAAGCCCGGGGCUCAACCCCGGAACGGCCUUUGAAACUAGAUAACUAGAAUCUUGGAGAGGUCAGUGGAAUUCCGAGUGUAGAGGUGAAAUUCGUAGAUAUUCGGAAGAACACCAGUGGCGAAGGCGACUGACUGGACAAGUAUUGACGCUGAGGUACGAAAGCGUGGGGAGCAAACAGGAUUAGAUACCCUGGUAGUCCACGCCGUAAACGAUGAUAACUAGCUGUCCGGACACUUGGUGUUUGGGUGGCGCAGCUACGCAUUAAGUUAUCCGUCCGUCGGGUAGGUACGGUCGUCGAGAAUUAAAACGUUAAACGUAAGUUAGUACGGACGUGAGACGUGCCGACGGACGACGACGAGGGAGUAGG
rnacentral:rRNA from 1 species